rnacentral:tRNA from 1 species
UAAGCUAAAGCUUUUAGAAGCGCCGAGUUUUUAGUUCGUGUGAAGAUAUGCUGUUAUCUAGCUUAU